AAUUAGAAAGCGAAGGAUUGCAUUUAGUUUCGACCUAAAUUUUGGUUUAUACCUCUAAUUU
rnacentral:tRNA from 1 species